rnacentral:rRNA from 1 species
UGGGGAAUUUUGGACAAUGGGCGAAAGCCUGAUCCAGCAAUGCCGCGUGUGUGAAGAAGGCCUUCGGGUUGUAAAGCACUUUUGUCCGGAAAGAAAUCCUUGGCUCUAAUACAGUCGGGGGAUGACGGUACCGGAAGAAUAAGCACCGGCUAACUACGUGCCAGCAGCCGCGGUAAUACGUAGGGUGCAAGCGUUAAUCGGAAUUACUGGGCGUAAAGCGUGCGCAGGCGGUUUGUUAAGACCGAUGCGAAAUCCCCGGGCUCAACCUGGGAACUGCAUUGGUGACUGGCAGGCUAGAGUAUGGCAGAGGGGGGUAGAAUUCCACGUGUAGCAGUGAAAUGCGUAGAGAUGUGGAGGAAUACCGAUGGCGAAGGCAGCCCCCUGGGCCAAUACUGACGCUCAUGCACGAAAGCGUGGGGAGCAAACAGGAUUAGAUACCCUGGUAGUCCACGCCCUAAACGAUGUCAACUAGUUGUUGGGGAUUCAUUUCCUUAGUAACGUAGCUAACGCGUGAAGUUGACCGCCUGGGGAGUA